AUGGACCUGGACAGCUUCCCACUCGACCACGAGUGCCAAGACGACUACGGUCAAGAGAAAGAUGACGAGUGCGACAUCGAAGUGGAGCCUUUGUUCGAGGACGGGCUCACCAACCAAGCCGCCGAUCCUAAGCCAAAGCGCAAUAGCAAGCGCACGAACGCAUACAUGGCUGCCGAGGACAACCUUCUUUGUGAGUGUUGGCAAGACAUUGGACAAGACCCCAAGACGGGCGCCGAACAAAAGCAUUCAACCUUUUGGAUUCGUGUCCAUCGGGAGUUUCAUGAGCGCAAGAAGUUUCCGCCUUACCAAAUUGUGAGCACACGCGGGUGGGUGUCCAUUUCCAAGCGAUGGAGGGUGAUCCAACAAGAGUGCUACAAGUUUUGUGCCACUCUUGAGAGCGUCAAGGCCCGCCCCAUGAGCGGCAUCGGCAUGCAAGACAUGGCAUUUCAAGCUUUGGAGGCAUUCAAGGUCCAACACAAUGGCAAGUGCUUCAACCUCUCCCAUUGCUUUCGGGUCAUCAAGGACGAGGAGAAGUUCAAGGCGCAAUAUGACGCCCUCAAGUCGCGUGGGGGGAAGCAAGCCGUGAAGGAGGUUGGGGACGGCGAGCCGGCACGGCUGCGGGGGAAGACCAACUCCAAGAAGGAGGACAAGCGAGAUGCGGCAUCCAACGCCUUGAUCGCAAGCGUGGUGGGCAUGAUGAACAAGAAGGACUCAAGGGAGGAGGAGCGCCGGUGUUUCAAAGAAGAGCAAAUGAACGCCUUCAUGGAGAUCCAAAGGAGGAGGCUUGAGAUGGACGCGGAGAAGCAAGCCAAGAUGCAUGAGCUGGAGGCGGAGAAGCAAGCCAAGAUGCUAGAGAUCGAGGCCGCCAACGCCAAGACCAAGGCGAAAGAAGUGGCUCUCGCGAGCAUGAUGACCGGGCUAGAGAUCAUGAAGGUGGAUCUCAACACCGUGUCGCCAAGGAAGAGGCCGUGGUUCGAGAAGAUGCGGGUCGACAUGCUCAAGUUCACCGACGAGUGA
rnacentral:rRNA from 1 species